ACAAUGAUACUUCCGUCCAGUCACAGUCCGUACCUCUCAUUAAGCAACUAUGGCACAAACAAAGUUACUAAAUGAUGUCGCAGGCAAUGAGGGCGGCCGUGGGAGAUCCUCACGGUGGUUAAUCCAAUG
rnacentral:ncRNA from 1 species